rnacentral:lncRNA from 1 species
CUCAUAAUGCCGCACUAGAUAGACUUCUGGGCUUUGAUCUAGCCGGCACAAGGGUACUGGCAUGGAUCCCAAUCCUUCAGAGCACAGGAGAACAAGGCCACCGUCUUGCACUCAACCUCUCACUGGAGGACUCAAAGUAGGUGGCAAUCAUAGGGCCUAGCAUUAUAAAGGUGCAAGUGUAUGCACUAUAGAUAAGGGGGAGAAAGAUGAUGAAGCAGAUUGGGGAU